rnacentral:rRNA from 1 species
UACGUAGGGUGCGAGCGUUGUCCGGAAUUAUUGGGCGUAAAGAGCUCGUAGGCGGUUUGUCGCGUCGACUGUGAAAACCCGGAGGCUUAACCUCGGGCCUGCAGUCGAUACGGGCAGACUAGAGUUCGGUAGGGGAGACGUGGAAUUCCUGGUGUAGCGGUGAAAUGCGCAGGAUAUCAGGAGGAACACCGGUGGCGAAGGCGGGUCUCUGGGCCGAUACUGACGCUGAGGAGCGAAGCGUGGGGAGCGAACAGG